GACGAACGCUGGCGGCGUGCUUAACACAUGCAAGUCGAACGGAAAGGCCCCCACCUUGGUGGGGGUGCUCGAGUGGCGAACGGGUGAGUAACACGUGGGUGAUCUGCCCUGUACUUCGGGAUAAGCUUGGGAAACUGGGUCUAAUACCGGAUAGGACCAUGGUUUAGUGUCUCAUGGUGGAAAAAUUAUUGUUUUGGUGCAGGAUGAGCUCGCGGCCUAUCAGCUUGUUGGUGGGGUAAUGGCCUACCAAGGCGUCGACGGGUAGCCGGCCUGAGAGGGUGGACGGCCACAUUGGGACUGAGAUCCGGCCCAGACUCCUACGGGAGGCAGCAGUGGGGAAUAUUGCACAAUGGGCGCAAGCCUGAUGCAGCGACGCCGCGUGGGGGAUGACGGCCUUCGGGUUGUAAACUCCUUUCGUUAGGGACGAAGCCACACCUUUUUUGGGUGUGGUGACGGUACCUUUGUUAAGAAGCACCGGCUAACUACGUG
rnacentral:rRNA from 1 species